UACGUAGGGUGCGAGCGUUAAUCGGAAUUACUGGGCGUAAAGCGCACGUAGGCGGAUAUUUAAGUCAGGGGUGAAAUCCCAGAGCUCAACUCUGGAACUGCCUUUGAUACUGGGUAUCUUGAGUAUGGAAGAGGUAAGUGGAAUUGCGAGUGUAGAGGUGAAAUUCGUAGAUAUUCGCAGGAACACCAGUGGCGAAGGCGGCUUACUGGUCCAUAACUGACGCUGAGGUGGCGAAAGCGUGGGGAGCAAACAGG
rnacentral:rRNA from 1 species